rnacentral:rRNA from 1 species
UACGAAGGGGGCUAGCGUUGCUCGGAAUGACUGGGCGUAAAGGGCGCGUAGGCGGAUGGCACAGUCAGAUGUGAAAUUCCCGGGCUUAACCUGGGGGCUGCAUUUGAUACGUGUGAUCUAGAGUGAGGAAGAGGGUCGUGGAAUUCCCAGUGUAGAGGUGAAAUUCGUAGAUAUUGGGAAAAACACCGGUGGCGAAGGCGGCGACCUGGUCCUUGACUGACGCUGAGGCGCGAAAGCGUGGGGAGCAAACAGG